rnacentral:misc_RNA from 1 species
CGCACCUUGCGCUCCUUGGUAUUCCGGGGAGCAUGCCUGUUUGAGUGUCAUUAAAUUCUCAACCUCAUCAGUUUUGUUAUGAAAUUGUGUGAGGCUUGGAUGUGGGGGUUUUUGCAGGCUGCCUCAGUGUGGUCUGCUCCCCUGAAAUGCAGUAGUGAGUUUCAAUUGAGCUCUGUCUAUUGGUGUGAUAAUCAUCUACGCUGUGGAUUGGGCUUAGACUUGCUUCUAACCGUCCGUCAAGGACAAUUUUUUGACAAUUUGACCUCAAAUCAGGUAGGACUACCCGCUGAACUUAA